rnacentral:rRNA from 1 species
UAUUGCUCUUCAACGAGGAAUCCCUAGUAAGCAUGAGUCAUCAGCUCAUGCUGAUUACGUCCCUGCCCUUUGUACACACCGCCCGUCGCUACUACCGAUUGAAUGGCUUAGUGAGACCCUCGGAUUGAUAAGUGGAAACCUUCACAGGUAUCCUUUUGUUGAGAAGUUGGUCAAACUUGGUCAUUUAGAGGAAGUAAAAGUCGUAACAAGGUAGCCGUAGGUGAACCUGCGGAAGGAUCAUU